CAUGUUUUUCAGUGAAGCGGAUUUUCAGUAUGAAUUCGGUCAAACUUUCAGCUAUUGUAUUGAAAAAAUUAUUUCUGUGAAAAUUAACUGUUAUUUACGUCAAAAACCUCCUUGUUUAUAAAUUAAUAGUGUGCCUUAAAGGAAAAUGAGAAAUAUUACAGGGAAAUAACCCAAGGAUUGAACAUUCGGAAAUGAAAUAAACGAAAUUAUUCAAAAUAUAUAUUGGAUCUGACAUAUGUUUUUCCUCAGCACAGAUCGGAAUAUCAGGUUUUUCGUUGCAGUAUCACGAUGAUAGAAAUAUCACGCGAAUCUUCUGUGCACAGCCCAGUGGUGCGGGUGUUCCUGGUGUCAGGCAUGUGCUCGCUUUUGGUCGUCGUCAUUUUUGACUUACUCACAUUUUAGCUUUCCUGUACGCGUAUCGUAACAGCACGAAGGGAAUGCACAACGUGACCGCCGCGGCCGGCCAAAACUACACGACGACCGUUUAUUUCGUCACGACCGAAGAACCGAAGAAUUUAGCUUGACCACCUCCGUCUUUAGCUCGCAAUUUAUAUUGACCAUUUUGACAAACACCGGUCAUCCGCUAUAACGAGUUGUGGACAGUUUACACUUUUACGAAUCACUGGCGGACCAGCUGGCUUAACUCUGUCUACAUGAUUUUCUGUUAUCGCCAAUUCGGUUUUUAAUCGAGUAAUUUCGUUAGUAAUACAACUUUAACCGACAUCCUGUGAGUUUUUUUAAAGUCAGCUGCAAAAUGCAAAUCAUUGAAAGAAGAACGUCUCGAUCUGCCGAUGGCAUGAUUAUUUCGAAGUCUUAAUGGAUUUUAUAUCGAUUUUAUGUUGUAGUAACGUGACUGUUUUUUAUUCGCUAAAUGAGAUAUUUAACAACAUUUUUCAACUUGACGUUUGGAAUUGUUAACGUUUGUCUAUAAUAAAACACUAAAAACGCAUAUAAAUCU